CACAUGCAAGUCGAGCGGAUGAAAGGAGCUUGCUCCUGGAUUCAGCGGCGGACGGGUGAGUAAUGCCUAGGAAUCUGCCUGGUAGUGGGGGACAACGUUUCGAAAGGAACGCUAAUACCGCAUACGUCCUACGGGAGAAAGCAGGGGACCUUCGGGCCUUGCGCUAUCAGAUGAGCCUAGGUCGGAUUAGCUAGUUGGUGAGGUAAUGGCUCACCAAGGCGACGAUCCGUAACUGGUCUGAGAGGAUGAUCAGUCACACUGGAACUGAGACACGGUCCAGACUCCUACGGGAGGCAGCAGUGGGGAAUAUUGGACAAUGGGCGAAAGCCUGAUCCAGCCAUGCCGCGUGUGUGAAGAAGGUCUUCGGAUUGUAAAGCACUUUAAGUUGGGAGGAAGGGUUGUAGAUUAAUACUCUGCAAUUUUGACGUUACCGACAGAAUAAGCACCGGCUAACUCUGUGCCAGCAGCCGCGGUAAUACAGAGGGUGCAAGCGUUAAUCGGAAUUACUGGGCGUAAAGCGCGCGUAGGUGGUUUGUUAAGUUGGAUGUGAAAUCCCCGGGCUCAACCUGGGAACUGCAUCCAAAACUGGCAAGCUAGAGUAUGGUAGAGGGUGGUGGAAUUUCCUGUGUAGCGGUGAAAUGCGUAGAUAUAGGAAGGAACACCAGUGGCGAAGGCGACCACCUGGACUGAUACUGACACUGAGGUGCGAAAGCGUGGGGAGCAAACAGGAUUAGAUACCCUGGUAGUCCACGCCGUAAACGAUGUCAACUAGCCGUUGGGAGCCUUGAGCUCUUAGUGGCGCAGCUAACGCAUUAAGUUGACCGCCUGGGGAGUACGGCCGCAAGGUAAAACUCAAAUGAAUUGAC
rnacentral:rRNA from 1 species